CAUUUGCUCUAUUUCUAUUUCUGCUUCUGCUUCUGUUUCUAAUUCUGUUUCUAUUGUUAUAGUUACUGUUGCAAUUGCCUGCAUUGCAGCAGGUCGUAAAUUUAUGGCAAAUAAAUUUAUAGCAGUCGUUUCGAGGUCUCCAACGCACCACCAGUCCACCAGGCCACCCAAUAGAGUGGGCUCCAUUCCACUGCUGUCUGUCAGAUGGGGAACAUUCAACUGAAAUGGCUCAAAAAAUUGAAAUCAACCAAAGUUGGGGAAUUUCCUGCAGCCAGGAGAAGCAAAAAGAGGUCGAGGGGCUGAGCAAAUGAAUAGAACCAGCCAAGAAUCCUUCUUUGCUGUUCAUUUUGGGCUCGGGUUAGAAGGGCCCAAUGCAUAUUAAGUUGUCCUUGUUGUCCUCGUUUUCCUUGUUGAGAGCUUAUCUGAAUGCACCACAAUUAUUUCAGCUUGUCGGAGAAGCCAAACGGUCAUUGUGCGAGUGCAAGCCCCCCAAAUGCAGUUUGUCCACGGCCAACUGCCGACUGCCAUACGAAGCUUCGCUCACUACCUGAAUGGCCAAGAAGCAAAAGUUUUUCUGAAGAAAAAUGUUGAUUGGAACGAAUUAUUGUGGCAACUGGAGGGGACCAGCUUGGUACGAGGUACGAGAUAUCCUGCCUGAGAUACCCUGAAUAUGUUUCUAUAUAUUCAUUUCCGUAUGUAUCUCUAUUGAAUAAAAUCUAAGUCCGCUUA